CGCUGCUGCAUCUUGGACGUUUCCUCCCUAGACUUGGGCCGCGCUUCGUGCGCGGCCUUUUUUUGUCGUCAAA
rnacentral:sRNA from 1 species